AUAGAACAGGCAUAGGCAAACUCCGGCCCUCCAGAUGUUUUGAGACUACCAUUCGCAUCAUCCCUGACCACUGGUCCUGUUAGCUAGGGAUGAUGGGAAUUGUAGUUACAAAACAUCUGGAGGGCCGGAGUUUGCCUAUGCCUGCCAU